rnacentral:rRNA from 1 species
CCUACGGGGGGUUGCAGUGGGGAAUAUUGGACAAUGGGCGAAAGCCUGAUCCAGCCAUGCCGCGUGUGUGAAGAAGGCCUUCGGGUUGUAAAGCACUUUCAGUGGGGAAGAAAGCCUUGGGGCUAAUACCCUCGAGGAAGGACAUCACCCACAGAAGAAGCACCGGCUAACUCCGUGCCAGCAGCCGCGGUAAUACGGAGGGUGCGAGCGUUAAUCGGAAUUACUGGGCGUAAAGCGCGCGUAGGCGGUCUGAUAAGCCGGUUGUGAAAGCCCCGGGCUCAACCUGGGAACGGCAUCCGGAACUGUCAGGCUAGAGUGCAGGAGAGGAAGGUAGAAUUCCCGGUGUAGCGGUGAAAUGCGUAGAGAUCGGGAGGAAUACCAGUGGCGAAGGCGGCCUUCUGGACUGACACUGACGCUGAGGUGCGAAAGCGUGGGUAGCAAACAGGAUUAGAUACCCGGUAGUC